CCAGCAGCCGCGGUAAUUCCAGCUCCAAUAGCGUAUAUUAAAGUUGUUGCAGUUAAAAAGCUCGUAGUUGAAUUUCUGGCCCUUUUUUGCUUGGCAGCCGUCGAGUAAAGGAGGGUCAUCCGCCACAGAACUAUACUCGUCAUUAAGUUGUCGAUAUAGGGAUGUGGCAUUUUACUUUGAAAAAAUUAGAGUGUUCAAGGCAGGCCAUCGCCAUGAAUACACAAGCAUGGAAUAAUGGAAUAGGACUAUGGUUCAUUUUGUUGGUUAUUGAACCUUAGUAAUGAUUAAUAGGGACAGUUGGGGGCAUUAGUAUUUAAUUGUCAGAGGUGAAAUUCUUGGAUUUAUUAAAGACUAACUUAUGCGAAAGCAUUUGCCAAGGAUGUUUUCA
rnacentral:rRNA from 1 species